ACAAAGACUGACAAACAACCAAUCUGCAAAAGAAGAUAAAUUAUGUAAAUAAAUAAAUAAUACUGAGAACAUGAGUUGUAGAGACCUUGAAAGGGAUUUGGUGAACUGGACCCUUGAGAAUGCAGAACUUGCCUAACCUAGGAAGUGAUCCCAGCAUUUUCUGUUUUUAAAUUCACCUCAGAAUUUUUCAUCGUGUGUUCUCCAGGGAAGAGUACAAUGGACCAAGAAAACACCACUUUUUGUUUCUGUCACACACAAGCAAUGGAGGGAGCUUUUACCCACUUAAUAUCAAAAAAUCAUAGUUCUAAUAGACUUCCUGUCAAUAAGGGGAUAAAUAAUUACCCAGGGUAGCUGAGAAUACUGUGUGUGUUGGAUUACAAACAGACCAGCCAUGACCUUAUUGACUAGCAGAGCAAACUUAAGUGUUUAUUCAAACUCCCACUUUACAUGUGUUUUUUUUUGUUUUUAAUAAAAUAAAUGAUUUUUCUC